CUUGAUCGACCCCAGCCAGAGCGGCUGCCCACCGGUGCGCUGCUGCCCGUACGUGGCGAGCAGCGCCUGGGCCUC
rnacentral:antisense_RNA from 1 species